rnacentral:rRNA from 1 species
GGAGGGCGGUAUUUAUUANAUAACAAGCCAAUAUUCCUCUGGUCUAUUGUGGUGACUCAUAAUAACUGAUCGAAUCGCAAGGCCUAUGGCCGCGAUAAGUCAUUCAAGUUUCUGCCCCAUCAGCUUUCGAUGGUAGUGUAUUGGACUACCAUGGCGUUUACGGGUAACGGAGGAUUAGGGUUCGAUUCCGGAGAGGGAGCCUGAGAAACGGCUACCACAUCUAAGGAAGGCAGCAGGCGCGUAAAUUACCCAAUCCUGACUCAGGGAGGUAGUG